CUGGUAGCUAGACACAAAAAUCACACCUGGCUCCCAAGUCCCACCCACCAUGUCCUCCACCACCACCACCGACGAACCACCAACACCACUGCCGCCGCCGCCCCUCAUCCCGUCGCUCCCAGACGACGUCGCUCUAAACUGCUUAGCACGAAUCCCAAGAUGGCACCACCCGAUCCUCUCCGCAGUCUCAAAGCCCCUCCGCUCCCUCCUCUCCUCCCCUCUCUUCUUCUCCACCCGCAUCCUCCUCAAGUUCACUCAGCCCCUCCUCUACCUCUCUCUCCGGUUGCACCACCCCUCUUCCUCCUCCUCCUCCUGGUUCGCCCUCCUCCGACCCCCUAACCCAAACGACGCCGUUCCAACUAAACCCCUCCUCGUCCCCGUCCCGCCCAUCCCCGUCCCCUCAAUCGGCUCCUGCUACGCCGUCCUCGGCCCCAAGAUCUACGUCCUCGGUGGGUCCCUCAACGACGUCCCCUCCCCCCACGUGUGGGUCCUCGACUGCCGCUUCCACACGUGGGAGCUCGGGCCCCGGAUGAGAAUCCCCCGGGAAUUCGCCGCAGCGGGUGUCGUCGCCGGGAAAAUCUAUGUCAUGGGCGGCUGCGCCGUUGAUUCGUGGGCCCGGGCGGCCCAUUGGGCUGAGGUGCUCGAAGACGGGGAGUGGCGGGCAGUGCCGAGCCCGGCUGAGGUCCGAGACAAGUGGAUGCAUGCGAGCGCCGUCGUCGGGGACAGAGUGUUUGCGAUGGCGGACCGGGGUGGGGUCGUUUUCGAUGCGAAAAGCGGGGUUUGGGAAGGAGUGGAGAGUGGGUUGGACUUGGGGUGGAGGGGGAGGGCUUGUGUUGUGAAUGGGGUGUUGUAUUGUUAUGACUAUUUGGGGAAGAUUAGGGGGUUUGGAUUUGGUGGUGUUGUGGGCAAUGGAGAAUGGAGAGAGCUCAAAGGGGUGGAAAAGGGGCUGCCCAAGUUCUUGUGUGGAGCCACCAUGGCGAAUGUGGGAGGGAAGUUGGUAGUGGUGUGGGAAGAGAAAGGGAAUGGGAAGGAGAUGGAGAUAUGGUGUGCUGAGAUUGAAGUGAGUGAAGAUAAGGAUGGCGGUUUGCUGGGGAAGAUUAGUUGGUCGAGUAAGGUUCUUUCGGUUCCGGUUGGGUCGUCCAUUGUUCAUUGCGCCGCGGUUUCCUUGUGAAGCAAGAAAUGUGAAUCCUGUCUCGGGAGGAAAGUGGUAAAGAGAACCAUAAAUUGAGCCUCAUGCUGAUCACUAACCUCCAUCUGUGAUGGUACUAUGGACUUGGAAAGUUCAUAGAGGAACAACUCUCAGAUCAAGUCAGGAUCUCAGGACGUUACUUGCUGAACACCAUUCUGCGAUCGCAAACGACAAGUGAAAUUUGUAUUUAGUACUGCAUUUUUCGCAGCUUUGUGUUUUGUUGUGUAUAGGUUCUGAUGGAGGACCGAGAAGGGAUGGAGUAGCAAUGGAAGGAUAAAAUCAAAAAGAGAAAUAGAACUACUGGGGAGAGAAGUAGAACGAAAGAAAGGAGAUAAAAGGAUUCUGGAGAAAGAACAAGAACAAGAAAGAGGAGGAAAUGAGUCCCACGGUUAAGCUCCAUAUUUCCUCAAAAAUCUUGGUCUCUAAGACAGGUUCCGAUGACAAUUACUUCUUCUAGAUAAUGAUUUCACAGGCAAUCUACUUUUCCAUGAUAUCUUUUCAUCCCAAUUUUGGCUUCUCUAGGAAGGACAGAAGUUGAAUGAAAAUUUUCCAAGGUUGAUAUCCAAAUUGAAACAACUAACUCUAGACCGACAGCUAAAUGGGAACCCCUCCCCCUCCCGUGGUGUGCUCAAAACUAAUGUAGAUGCAGCUGUUAAGAAUAACAUAAAUAAUAUCAGUAUUGUUAUAAUCAUUCGGGUAUGAGGGGGGUCGGGUUCUUUGUGCUACUACAAAGAGGAUUCUUGGGCGGUUUUCCCCGCCCCACAUCGCGUAAUGUUUUGUUGUUUGAGGAUUGGAGUUGGCGAGAUCGGGUGGCUUCACAAGUUGGAUAUUCCAAUAAGAUGCUAUGAGUGUAGUUUGAGCGGGGAAAGACUGUCCAAUUCGAUCUCCAAAGGCAAAUAUCUUAA